UGAACAGCUAUUAUUACUUUAGCCUCCACUUUUAAAAUGGAUACCUUUAAGUCAAGAGUGAAUAGGCAUCUUCUAG